rnacentral:lncRNA from 1 species
CAAUUACCAAGCGAACGACUGGUGGACAACUAAACCAAACUAUGACACCAACCAGUAAGCAAAUCCUUACUGGGAAACCAAAACGAGUUAUUGCAACAAGGAAUGAGAACAUCUCUACCGUGAAACCAAAACAAUCUUCUACAUCAAAAAGCAAGAAAACACUUGCUACUCCAACGAAGCAAUCUUUGCCAGCAACGAGAAGUCUAGGUACUCAUUUAAGUCAAGCUACUACAUCAACAAGCAAGCUAAUCAGCACUGUUCAACUCAAGGAGAUUACUACAUCGACAUCUACUGUUCAACUGAAACAAUCACCAACAGGAAAGCAAAUUCUUACAGCUGAAUCAAACCAAUAUACUCCACCAAAUAACAAGCAAACAAGUACUCCUCGAACAAAACAAUCUAUUACACCAUCAUCCUCAACCCUGGACCAACCAACCCUACACCUAACCCUACCUAAGCGACAGAAACCCACCCGCCACACAACUCUGUCUCCGCACCGACCAACCCAAAGGCAAACCCUACCCACGACAGAAAACCCCACCGACAAGAUGAACACACAAAUUAUCGUCAUCCAGAACUCGAAUACGAUCACGAAGGUUGGCUUCAACAAAAACCAACUUUUGGUGUAUCUGUUUCUGUUCAUCGUGUUCGUGUUAUUUGUCGGACUUAUUGUGAUAAUCAGUGUGAAAAUGAGUUAUUUCAAUGCCUGCCCAUGUUUAAGACGCUUUCAAACGGUGAACGGCUCCCUGCCAAGCCAAGACUCGAUUGAGUUGGGCGACCAGCGAAGAAAAGAUUCAGCCACGGUCGUUAGAGUCAAAACUGAUCGGCCAUCUUCGCUGAAUGAUUCGGGAAUAGAUCGUAGCGAGUCGGGCACCGACAGUCACCGAAGUUCCGCCGAAGUGCAAGACGAUGCUGUUACCAACCGCGAAGAUCUGGGAAGCAGACUAGCUGACCAUGUAGAUCUGGAAACUAGCCCUGACAGCGAAGGAUUUCUAAUUCUGCAAGACGAUCCAUCACUUUAUACACAGAAAAGUUUUGGAUGGACAAUUCUCAGCAGUACGAAUACAAUUCGACAUUGUAGAACGUCUACUAGAAAUUUAAUACACGCAGCAAAUGAGAAUAAACCGCGUGCAUUUAAACCAGCGUACUAUCCACAUUCGGAAAUUUCCGACGAUGUACGAGUGGAUGCCGGUGAUGACGUCACGCGAUGUCGCAAUCCGACGACAAAAUAUCGUCAGCUGGCGACCAGCGACUGUUCAAGCUUAGACAAUGUGUCGAUAGAUAUGGAACAAGGCUCGGGUUUAGAAACGAAUUCAGGAGAGGAGUGUGCUGUAUUUUAGACAUUGACACGAAUUCUCAAAGAAAUGAUUCGCUGACUUGCUUGAUUCUCGCCAAGAGUGCUAUAAGAAAGAUGGAAGCCGUGAAGAAAACAAAGACAACUCAAGAUUCUAAGAGAAAACAGAAGAGAAUUGUAUAAUUGAAGCUGUUCAUGAAGUAGCAUCCGUCCAUCUGCUCAACAGAGACUACAAUAAGGGUGUAACAUUACGAUCUGGGCCAGGUUGUGUAAAACUCUUCUUGGCCAUCUGGCUCAAUACUACUGACACUUGAAGGCUUUUUGUUGGUGGAAAUUUCUGGCGGAAUAUAUACAAUUUCAGACCUAACUAGGGCCGCAGGUUGGAUUCCUGUCAGAGGGUUUAUAGUUACAUUUUUCGCAACUGCUCCGGGUUAGAUCUAAAAUUGUAUAUAAUCUUCUGCUGGAAAUCUCUGCUACAAAAAAGCAUAACUACAAAACUCGUAACUACUUUUAACUACUCGUAGUCAUUGAACUAUAAAUAAACUGGAAGGCUAACUCAGGGGGGGAAAUUGAAGCCAGUGCAUUUUAGUUUUUCUGAGUUAUGAGCAGAAAUACUCAACACUGAACGUUGGGCUAUAUAUCAAAUUGAAGCUAUUGAAAAACGCUAUUUGGUGUAGAAAUUUCUAGACUUUAGCUAAAAGGGAAAUGUUGAAAAACUACAAACAUAAUUACCGAUAAUUUGCCGUUUUGCAGUUGUUUUUGUAUUUUUUAAAUAUUUUUCUUUUCGCUGAAGUCUUGAAAUUUCCACAGCGAAUAGCAAUUUUCAAUAGCUUCAAUUUGAUAUAUUGCCCGACGUUUGGGGUCAAGUAUUUCUGCUCAUAACUCAGAAAAACUAUUUUGGCUUCAUCAAAUCAUAGGCCUUCAUCAUAGCAGUUAGCCUUCCAGUUUAUUUAUAGUUCAAUGCUCGUAGUUGAUUCUAAAAUGCACAAUUCUGAUUGGUUAACUUUUCCACGAACUAUAGUUAGCCUUAACUACUUUUUAUACAACGGGCUCCAGAGAUGUACGCCCGCUAAAAAGGGUGACUGCUUGUGAGAGCUGUCCAUUAUUUACUGGAGUAAGAAGUGUUAUGUAAACAGCUUUUCUUCGUUCUGGGAGACAACUCCAAAAGACAGUUGUGUAAAGAAUACUUGAACAAAAAAACAUGGUACAAUAUGGAGUGUCCGAAUAUGUCUUGACCUAUAAUAUACUAAGUAGGUUAUUAUUCGGGAUGGGGAUGAAUUAAUCCUGGGACCUGUUGUACGAAAGCCGUAUAGCGCUAUCCACCGGACAGUGAUUUUUCAAGUUUUCAUAAAUUGGUCGUUGACUGGUACAGUCCAAACUAAUCUUUAGUAUAUAAAAGUUUCUCUUUAUUACUUGUGGGAUCCACUUUCCUAGUUUUAUCACUUUUCAAUCAUUUGACAACGGUUGAAAAAAUCACUAUAUGCGGCCUUCGUACAAUCGGUUCAUGAUUUAUAUCUCACAAAGCAUCAAAAGAUAAGAAAAAUGUGAACUGAAAUAUAUAAACACGCCACAUUACUGGCAUUGUAUAUAGAGUUUUUCAUGUUUUAUGACAAUUUUGCAUCAAAAUAUAUGUAUAUCUGC